rnacentral:misc_RNA from 1 species
ACAAACUUGGUCAUUUAGAGGAAGUAAAAGUCGUAACAAGGUUUCCGUAGGUGAACCUGCGGAAGGAUCAUUACUGAUUUGCUUAAUUGCACCACAUGUGUUUUUUUAUUGAUUAAAACUUUGCUUUGGCGGCAGGAGUAAAAUUCUACCGCCAGAGGUUAUAACUAAACCAAACUUUUUAUUUUACAGUCAAACUUGAUUUAUUAUUAUAAAAUAGUCAAAACUUUCAACAACGGAUCUCUUGGUUCUCGCAUCGAUGAAGAACGCAGC